rnacentral:misc_RNA from 1 species
GAUGAAGAACGUAGCGAAAUGCGAUAAGUAAUGUGAAUUGCAGAAUUCAGUGAAUCAUCGAAUCUUUGAACGCACCUUGCACCCUUUGGCAUUCUGAAGGGUAUGCUCGUUUGAGUGUCAUUGUACUCUCACACUCCCGAUCUUUGCAUUGGGAGCAGUGGACUUGGGUUUGCUGCUUCACCGUCGCUUACCUCAAAUAGGUUAGUGCAACUCUUGGUUGGACAUAGUACGGCGUGAUAAGUGUUCUUCGCCGGUGCCUCGCAAAGAGGGUGGCCGAUCGGGAUGUUGUGCUCCAAACCGUCUUCGGACAAUCUCUGACGACUUGACCUCAAAUCGAGUAAGACUACCCGCUGAACUUAAGCAUAUCAAUAAGCGGGGA